UUUGUCUUGAAAGGGCGUCAGCCACUGCAUUCUCCUUCCCAGGUCUGUAAACAAUCUGAAAAUCAUACCCUUGUAAUUUUGCUGUCCAUUUCUGUUGCUCUGGGGUUUGUAUGAUUUGGGAAAGUAAUGUGUUUAGGCUCUUUUGAUCUGUAAUGAUUUUGAAAUGCUGACCAAUGAGAUACUGACGCCAUUUUUUUAUGGAUUCUGUAAUGGCGUACAUCUCACAUACAUACACUGAGGAAGCUUGGAGUUUGACACUCAUCUUUUUACUGAAGAAAGCCAGCGGACGCCCUGAUUGACUAAGAACAGCACCAACGGCCACGGCGGAAGCGUCUGUCUCUACCACAAAAGGAAGCUUGAAGUCUGGCAGGUGUAGGGUAGGCACUUUUGCUAUGUGUAAUUUUAGAUUUUCAAAUGCUUGCUGCGCGGGCUGAGACCAUGUAAUUUUAUGGUGCUGUAAUAAGUCGGUGAGAGGAGCGGCGAGAGUGGCGUAUUGCUUGAUGAAUUUUCUGUAGAAUCCGGUGAGGCCGAGGAACCCCCGUAAUUCCGUGAGUGAGCGUGGCUGAGGCUAGUUC
rnacentral:lncRNA from 1 species